AAGACUAUAGACCUGCGGAGUACCUGCGGAAGGAUCAUUAAUGAGAAACUGCCCCUCGCGGGUAGAUCUCCCACCCUUUGUAAACUUACCUUUGUUGCUUUGGCAGGCCCGUCUCCGGACCGCCGGCUUCGGCUGGCCAGUGCCUGCCAGAGGAUUCUAAAACUCUGUCUGUCAGUGUUGUCUGAGUCUAUAUACAAUCGUUAAAACUUUCAACAACGGAUCUCUAGAUCGGAAGAGCAC
rnacentral:misc_RNA from 1 species